GGGCUGGGGCUGAGUGGUAAAGCGCUCGCCUAGCACGUGCAGAGUGCUGCGUUCAAUCCUCAGCACCACA
rnacentral:tRNA from 1 species